rnacentral:snoRNA from 1 species
UGCAGCCCUGUCAAAUUCGGUCCCUGCCUCCUCCGUGGUGGGGAUCGGCCAACCGGCUGCCACAGCAACUUCUGUUGUCUGUCAGCCCCACGUCCCCUUCCCGUGGGACACUGGGGGAUAAAAUCACACCACGGACACAU